rnacentral:rRNA from 1 species
UACAGAGGUCCCGAGCGUUGUUCGGAUUCACUGGGCGUAAAGGGUGCGCAGGUGGUUUGGCAAGUUUGAUGUGAAAGCCCCGGGCUUAACCCGGGAAGGGCAUUGAAUACUGCUUGAACUGGAGGGUCGGAGGGGGGACGUGGAAUUCUUGGUGUAGCAGUGAAAUGCGUAGAUAUCAAGAGGAACACCAGUAGGCGAAGGCGAGUCCCUGGACGAUACCUGACACUGAGGCACGAAAGCCAAGGGAGCAAACAGG